rnacentral:rRNA from 1 species
AUACGUAGGGGACGAGCGUUGUCCGGAAUUACUGGGCGUAAAGGGCGCGCAGGCGGUAUAUCAAGUCAGCUGUCAAAGACUGGGGCUCAACCCUGGUAUGCGGUUGAAACUGAUAUGCUGGAGUGCUGUAGAGGCAAGUGGAUUCCCAGUGUAGCGGUGAAAUGCGUAGAUAUUGGGAAGAACACCGGUGGCGAAGGCGACUUGCUGGGCAGCAACUGACGCUGAGGCGCGAAAGCCAGGGGAGCAAACGGGAUUAGAUACCCCGGUAGUCCACACUGUAACCGAUGAAUGCUAGGUGUAGGGGGUAUCGACCCCUUCUGUGCCGCAGUCAACACAAUAAGCAUUCCGCCUGGGGAGUACGGCCGCAAGGUUGAAACUCAAAGGAAUUGACGGGG